CAAUUUAAUGAUAACCAAGGAAAGACAUCUAUCGCACAAUUUUUGUCGCGUUUGCCUGUAGUUUAUUAGUUGCAAACUUUGUUGUGCAUAUCGCGAGAGCUGCAGUCAUUUGAUUAUCGGCGCAUAAAUGAUGGACUUGGAACAAAUAAGGAACUACAUUGAGAAAUUAAUAUGUAUUUUUAAUCCUGCCUUAUAGAAGCGGGUAAGCAUCAUUUAGCCUUUUAUUUUAUUUGGUUUUUAUUGUGUGUUCUGCAAAUGUGACCAUUUUAAGCGCUAAAUUACCUUUAGUAGCCAAUGUAAAAUGCAUGUAUGUAAUAUUUUAAAGCGUCGGUGAAUUAGUGUUGCUUAUAAACUUUUCUUUUUGAAUAUUAGAAAUAAAAACAAAGUUGAUGACAUGACAUCAGUGAUAAAUGGAAAAACUUAAUAGCUUACUGCAGCACGCGCAUUUCAAUAAGGCAGUGUAAUAAAUGUCCUGCAUUGCUUUGGACUCUGCUAAUUUAUUAUUGAUUAGAACAUGAUACAUGCACGCUGAGUAUACCACCAGGAUCAGUUUAUUCAAAUUUUUACUUUUUCUGACAGUGGCGGUUUUUCAGAAUCAGGCUGGGCUGUUUGCUUUCGCUACCAUAAAUGAACAUUUAAUAAUAUAAAUGUGUAAGUUCCUAAAUUUACAGGUUUGCGCAGUUUGAAAGAAGUACAGAGAUGGACACAUGAUUCAGCUGAGUGGUUAAUCCUAAGGUAUCUGCAGGGUGUGCAUUUCCCAUGGUACAGGUGGGAGAGUACAACGUGAAAAUUGUAAGCAAAAUACAGAGAUUCUUGUGGUCUUCUCUCUAUUAUUUUUCAUGCAGUUUUUCACGGUUGCUCUCCGCUUUUUUAAACACUCAGUGGAGAUUAAGAAGCAUGGUUCUCUGUGCUGACUGUCUGAACUGAGCCUUAUCCUCAGGAGACUGCACUCUUUUGCCUACUGUGCUCUUAGUAGCGCGCAGACCACGAGACCGUGGUUAAAUAUGAUCUGUACCAUCAAUGCCUUGUACUUGCUUUCAUAAAUUCUCAGAUGACUGUGAAUUGUAAGUGUUUAUGAGGACUUACACAGCAAAACAGUCUAAGUGUUUAUCAGACAGUCUUAUGCUACAAUCUUGAACCAUUUAUUUUAUUUAAAUGCAUUUUUAUAUUGUAUUUCUAAGCACUUUCGUUUGAUGUGAUGGUCAGUCUAAACCCUAAGGAGAUGUAAUGAUAAUUAGGUUCAGAUUUUCUGUGGCUGAAUUAAGGCGGAGAUGCAGUAGCUGUGCAGGGUGUGGCACUUUGUCGGGGCUGUUAGUGAACAUGUUUGGAUAGAGAGAUCAGAGUUCCAUCUCUUGGCCCGCUCGCACAUUCUGUUUCAGGUCAUCCGUGUUUGUCUUCCUCCCUCUGUAUCCCUUGCUCCAUCCCCUGCUCUUACCCUCCUUAUCUCUGAGCUCAUUCUUUGCUUUUGUCCCUGAUCUCACAUUUUCCUUCCCUCCCGGCUCUCCAUUAGCUGCAGUCCUUCUUCUGCGUGCUUUGGCUUCACUGGGUCAUCCCUGUUCUCACCUCACAUCCCCUGCUUGCGUCAAGAGUGCUGAUGGGAGAAACAAACUGACUGAAAGGGCUUCUGUGGGAUGGAUUUAUUGCUUUGGCCACCAGAUAUGGAGGCAAUAAGUUUCACCAAAUUUGUACCUGAGCUGUCUAAAUAGAAGACUGACUCUGCAAGCCAGUUUCUGCUAUGAAAUGUAAACGGGAUUGCUGUUAAACACUAUUGCACAUCAGAUCAAUUAUAGAUCAGCUUUGGUUUAGGCCUCUGAGGUUUACCACACUGUUACUAUCACACUGUAAUGGAUAUACCCAACACACAGCCACAAGCACACAUGUGAACCCUUUGUCUAAAUAAUCCCAGUCUCUUCUUGUUGGUUUUGAAGUUACAAAAAUGAAAAUGUUUCAAGAUGAAAAAUUAUCACCUGAGCAAAUUAUUACCUGGAGUUUUAAGCUACCCAGACAAAAAAGUUUCAGUCCAUUGUGUGCAAGUACAAUCUGUGUGGGCAUACAUUUGUUUGAAUGGGUACGUUUGUGUUCCUGUGUGAAGUGAAUUUGAUUCUGCGUUAAUGUGUGUUGUGUGUGUAGAUGGAUAUCACUAGUAUGUACAUCCCCAUGAUUCAUCAAGCUUUCAGUCAGUGACAUAAUUGACAACCUCUGCUUCUACAAUGUCAUAUAAUAUUUAAGUCUCUGACGUGAUGUGCCAGGCAUUAAUUAUCACUGUGCCUUUUCGAUUACUCACUCUGCUUUGCUUUACUGGAAUUCAGCGGAUGCUCUUACCUAGAGCAUGCAAACACAAUCACAACGAUCCCAGACAGUGGGCAGAAGUUCUCUAGAGGGGGAAAGUAUAGUCCCAAGAGAAGAAGCAAAUGCAAGAAGUGCACACCUAAUUGAAAAUUUCACAACUAUGCUUCUGAACAUUGAAUUAAGCUAUAUGAAAAAGAACAAAAUGGCCCUAACAAGUACUAAACUACUUCAAAUGAACAACAGCAAAGAACCAUUCUGAAAACAAAAAAGUUACACCUUCUCUGGUGGUCUGACUCAGUAAAAGUGCUAGAGAGGGUUGGGGUGGAGGAGCCAAGGUGCAGUCUGAAUAGGUGUGUGUCAGAAGAUGGCUAAUGACUCUGCUGUUUUUACUGCCAUUGGAAGCUCCACCCACCACAGAGGGGCUAGAACAGACAGCAGACAUGACCGGCAAGUGCAGACUUGGAGAGGGGGAAAUGCCGGAUGUCCCAAGGCUGUCAAACAGAAGGGUCUGGUUGCUCAAGAUGCCAUUUCGGCAGGCUGAGAUGCGUGCAGAGACCUGUAGGAAACAAAAAGUGGAGUGCCAUCAGAAUAACACUGAGAUGAGUACAGAUGACGGGACCAAGGGGUUUGAUGUAGAGGAAGCAGAGAAGAGAACCGAGGGGGAGACCUGGAGGACGACUGUAGAGAUGCUGUGGGGUGUUGUUCUUCCAAGUUGCUGGGGGUGAGCCAUACAUCUAGCUAGGGAGGACAUAGGAAAGGGCAGUGCUGCCGAUAUCCAUUUCAGACAGGGAAGACUGGAGAAUGUGGUGGUCAGUAGUGUCAAAUGCCCUAAUACAACAUUAAUGAAAUGGACAUUAAUGUAACAUUAACCGCACCAAAAAUGAAUUCCAUUUGUAAUUGUAUAAGACCUCAGUACGCUUUAGCUGAAAAUUGCAGCUGCGUCUGCAAGGCUCGUACAUUUGAUAAAGUUCUUAGUUUUCUGUGAUAUGGGCUGGGUUUACAUAGCUCAUUUCCUUCCACAACAGACAAGAUCUGUGUUUGUCACCUCAUUCCAGAUAAUUCACACAGGGUCUAAUCAGCUCCUACAUUUACAGUAAAUAUAGGGAUUAUUAUGGAAUCUUAAAUUAUCUUUUUUUACUGAUUAUACUAUUUAAAGAUAAAAAGCUUUUUACAAAAGCUUUUUGGAUCAAAUUGUAUAAAGCUGUAUAAUAGUCUGUCAACACUGAGAGCCAAUAAGUUUUCAUUUGUAAACAAUUGUGGUUGCUCAGGGAAGCGAUGGUUGCCUUUUUGACAAACACAUUAUCUGUAAGCAACAGAAAAAUUGUGCCUGUAAAAAUCUAUAUUUUCUCAGUUGACUGCCAAAAUUAUGCUAAUUUGUGUCCUUUUUAUGUUAAAUGUUAGAAAUAUAUAAUGCUCAACUUAGACAAUGUUUUAAGUUACACAGAAAAAUAAUAAACUACACUCUAGAAAGCUUAACUUACUGAGGAGUGUACCUGUUUUCACACAUGAAAACAGCCUAUGGUUUAUUUGAUUUGUUUUGCUUUAAUGUCACUGUUUGACUGUAUUGUCUUUUUUAUUUUGGUCUUGGGAACUUGUGUCUUGUGUUUUGUAUUUGUAUUUAGGUCCUCCUUGGAAAAGAGAUGUCAGUCUCACUGGGGCCUGGAUAAGUAAAACCAAAGGCAGCCUUGUAAAUAUUCUGCUGAAUUAAGUUUAGGAGAAUAGAGAAAAACAGAACUAUAUGCCUGAUGGGUAAUGGAGUUACUUAUGACAUCAGAAAUGUUUCUGGAUGAAUAGAAAUAACAAAAGGCUUGUAUGUAUUUUUGAUGUUUUAAACUUUUAAACAUUUAUUUACGUAGCACUCCCCCACUGUGAAUCCAUGUGUAAGAUGUAAAUGUAAAUGUUCUAAUGUGCAUUUACACAUUAGGCACAUAUAUAAAGUUAAUUAGGGAGAUAGGAAUUUUCUGUCAUAUGUGAAUUUCACUUCUCAGGAAGUUAGAAAAGUCCUGCUGUGAUACACAGACCCUCAGAUAUGCCCGUGUUGGAGUGGGAGAGUCAUGUAAUAAGAAUGUCUAGAGAAUGUCGUUCCCCCGACACAGACCAAUUACCAGUUCAACUUCGCUUUGGAAUCCUGCAUUGAAGGCUCGCGUGGGCCUUGUCCCACUCCAGCCAGCCGAAUCAUCUUGCUGUGUGUGUAUAGACAGCCUGAGAACAGCUUCUGACCUCUGAGAGUUACACAGAGGCAUGCUGUUCCCAUUCCUGAAGGCUGCUCUUGAAUGAUAGCGCAGCAACAAAGAGACCGCGCUUCUCUAUCAGAGGGGAACACGUGAAUGAGGGCAGUAUAUCUGCAAAGCUGUGCUUCACAUGGGGGCUCUUAAAUUCACUGUGCUGCCAUUAGGGCCUGGAUGCCACAGAGGGGUUUAGGAACCGUAAAGUAAUGUACAAACCUUUUAAUGGUGUUGCAGAAGUCUGCCAUUAUGAGCCAUUCCUGUUGGUGUCUCCUUAAUGCCAGUUAAAGUUGGAGAUGUGGGUUUUUUCAUCCUGUUUACUUAGCACCUGGAUGUCUGUGUCAGUGCAGUACUGCAUUCAAAUGGCAGGGUCGUGACCUGUUCAAACAGGAAAAUACCCAGAUUUAAUGCUCAGGGGGAAACCUUGCAAUUAGUUUGAGUCUCAAACAAUAGUGAACUGGAUAGAUUCUCUAUUUUCUGAAUGGGUGGUGUCAAGGUUUAUAUAAUGUGUCCAGUUUGUUUAUUCAUUUUGGAAAAAAAAGCUUGUAAGUGUUUCUAUUUUUAUUAGCACACCGCACAAACAUGUCUCUUUCACAUGGAAUUUAAUUAUAAACUAUUCUUCUUAUGAAGAUGUGAUUGUGUUUUAAACAUCUGUAGUUUGUCAGCAUAGCCAGGUUUUUAUUUUACACCCCUUUGGAAACGAGCUCUCAGUCCAUUUAAUUUGUUCAUCCCUUAUUUUGAUCAACAUGUCAUCCUUUCGUGGUUCUGAGAUUACAUAUAACACAAGGAUAUAACUGUAGAUUUGAGAUUGCUUUUCCCUUGGGCUGUAGAAGUAGUUGUGAAUACUCACUGAGUUUUUGUCUUAACUUGGUUGUGGUAAGCCUUACCACAGUCAGGUUAAACCUGUGUGUGGCGACUGUAGAGUGAGGUGUCUUCGCCUUCAUCUGUGAAAUACACUAGCUACUGUACUGUUCCUACAGCUGUAUGUCAAGACAUCUUUUUCUUGUAUUUUCAUGUGCUGUGGGGUCAUAGUGCUGUGGGAAUGUAAUCUCAAUUGGCGUGCAAAUAUAUUUGAAUGAAAGAAAACUACUGAUCUCUAAUACUGACCUCCUGCACUGCUUUUUUCAUCCCUUAGUGGCCAGAGCUGGUUAUGUGGCCACCACAUGGCCCCAUUAUCUUUACGGAAAUCCCCCUCUUAAACCGUCCCCUGGCCCCCCACCCCUUGCAUUUCUGGACACACAUGCAGUGCAUUGUGUUUGAGCUUUCAGUGCUGCAAACACAAUCCUCAUUGUGAUACUCACACGGUAAAAAGAUCAGUAUUAAUUAAACUCUUUAUGUGAGUUUAUUUGAAUCCAAGCAGAAUCAAAUCUGCUUUAUUAGAGUGAAAUGUUCUCUAUCAGAGUGAAUUUAACACUGGACAUUUGCUGUGAAUUCAGGAAUUUUUGAAUAGAUAAGAAAUACUGUACUUGACAGGCUGACCAAAGCAAGGGUUGUAGGUCAUCUUUGGACAUGAAGCUUAUGCGACUAACGUGACUCUUGACAAGACAGUUAUUUGACCCCAAUGACCACAGACUCUCUAUGGAAGUAUUCAUCUCUAUACAGACAACAGUACAAACUUUUUCCACAUUAUGCUAAAGCUACAAAAGAUUCCAAAAAUCAGCAGUAGUUACCCAUAGCAUAUUGUUUUCAGUAAAUAGGAUUGAUAAUUGAUCAUCAAAAAGCAAUUAAUAAUUAAGUUGCAUCCUGAUUUCCUUUGUCAGUUCCAUUAUUUUCUCUCAUCUCAUUGUAACAUUUACACAGUAUCAUCACAUCGGAAACAUCUGUGCAUAAAUAUGAUAAGUUGUCUGGGCAGCGUUGAGGUAAGACAGUUGGAACCUAGGUGAGGGUAUGUUUGACUUCUCUGUGGUGCCGUUUGGCCUCUGAGUGAAACCAACAGACAGUGACCGGUGCUUGUCAUCCAAGGAGACCCUGUUUAGAGGCCAGUGCUGUCUGCUUCAUGUGUGGGAGUCAUUCAUAAGGGGCAUUCAGAUGAAAAAUUCCACUCCAGGUCCCAUUAACAAAGGAUUUUUUUGUGAGGGAGAUUUGCUAAAUUGAGAAAUUACAUAUUCAUUAGAAUCACAUAAACAGUGUUUUGUUUCCUGCUUGCAAAAUGAAAAGCAUCUUUUUUUUGUAGUCCUUGUACACUGUGUGCAUGCUGUGAUUGUUGGAAGAUGAACUGGCAGUAGGAGAGUAAACAAAUGAAUCACAACAAGAUCUCUGGUCUUCUGUUUGUCAGUAGGGAUUAGUGUUUGUCAGUGAGCACCUAUCUUUAACAGCAGGCAUUAAUCUUGGCACAGUUACAGAGUGUUGGUCUUAGAUUUGAAGGUUGAAUUUGUAUUGAUCUGUACAUGUGCAAGAGAAGAUUGUGUUUAUCCUUUAUGUUUCUUUGGGAGAGAAGAGAAGGGAAGUUAUCCAGGAUUUACUUUGUCAUUAUAGAAUUAAAAAAUACAUCCUCCAUGUCAUUCAUUUCAUUGUUCCACUUGGUGCAGCCAAGAUUUGGAAUAAUUCAGCAUUUCAACAGACCAUGCGAACAUUGUGUGUUUGCUUAAAUUUGUCUUUUAUUAAAGUAUAGCUUGGAGGCUAGCAACUGAGAUUACUUUUUGAGAUGAUAAAUAAAAAUUCCUAUUCACAGAGGCAGAGGAGGUCCUGGCAGGGAAAGAAUCCUUUAAACAAUGCUUUCCUUCCUGUGGACUGAUACUCUGUGUGGUGCAGAAAGUAAAAAAUGACAUCAGAUGUAGUGUAUUGUUCAUUAACAAUAUGUUUAAAAAAAAAAAAACUAAUUUAACCAAAUAGCAUUUGGUUAAUCACAUACAGUUUAGUACAGUGUCCUUGCAGCUGUAAUCAUGAACACAAUAACAAAACUGCUUUCACAGUAUUUCAUUGACUCAGAUUGUAGUGUGAAGGAAGUGUGUUGUGCCUGCAUAGACUAACAGCAGGGAAUAUGCAGGCAGUAUGUGUGUGUGUGUGUGUGUGUGUGUGUGAUGAUUCCUGUGACUUGGUAGUGCUGGAAACAGGAAUUCUGUUACCUAUUAGAAUUCAUACUACAGAGGAAAAACAAUGAUCUGUUUGAACAUGUGCCCAGUCUUCUUCUCUGUAGUCCUCUCUGUGUGUGAUUUUUCAAUCAAGAAUCUAACUCACCAGUUUUGAUUUUUGUUCAUUUUCUGAGUGGCACCAGACUGACAGUUUGCAGAUGACUGUUCACAUUUCUGAGGACCAGCUUGUGGGACUCAUGGGUCUGUAUUGGUGGAGAGAGUUGCCAGUGCCACAGGCUAGAGAAAUGGUUCUAAACUACCACUGUUGUUGUUUGUUGCAGACAACUAAAGAGCAAUAACUGAAAAAACCCCCCAGCUGCACACACCUGGAGCUUAACCCAUUACAGACAGGGUCUUGAAUAACUGAAACUUUAUAGCAGAGUAACUUCCUGAAACUCAACCACUUCCCCAAACACGCUUUCAUGCUUUCUGCUUGCUUUACCUUCCCAUCCUAGCCCUCACGGUCACUGAAAAUGCCCAUGCCUCUCUCCAGACCUGGGUCGAAUACAGAUGCCAAUCAAAUACAUUUCAUUUACAAUAUAUUUUUGUGUGAGUGUGUAUUAAAGCUAUUUGCAAAUAAACCAGGGAAGACCAAUUCCUUUUACAUCAUGUAUUUGUAAAUAGAACAAAUACUUUAAUUUAAAAUAAUUGAAGAAAUUCAAAUGAUUCAAAUACCAUUAUAAAGAUAUUAAUACAAAAUUAUUAAAAUAUCUAUUUGUUCUGUAUACUUACUUCAAAGAGUUUUAGAAUAUUUUGAAUGAAAUGUAAAAUACAAUUCAUGAGAUAUGACAGUGUUUCCAAACUCGCGGUUAGCUCCCCCCUUUCUAUAUGUAUUGAUCAUGUGACUCCAAUCCCACUCUUGAAAAUCUGAAACUUUUUGGCCUCCACCCUCUGCCAGUGAAGAGAACAGCAUGCCUGGUUACUGAGCACCCCUGAUAUUAAUCAGGCACUUAGUGCAGCUACAUAAAGGGCCUGCUUGAGUGGAGCAGUGUGGAAUGUUUGGUGCAGUGUUAUUGGAAAGCUGUAUUUUGUGACGUGUAUUUGCCUGUGCAAAUCAUGCAAAUCAUGAUGGAGCAAUAAGAUGCUAAAAGCCUUGAAGAGACUAAUAACUGUGCUGUGACCCUGUGGAUAUACCUAAGACAGCUUCCACGACUGUUCAGCGACUCUGUGGAUAUACCUAAGAUGGUUAAUGUUAAUAAAAGAGCAUAACAUGUUUAUUAAUAUAACAGAUACACAAGGAAUUCAGAAAAAUACAACAGGUUAAGUUAGACAUAAAACAAGUCAUGUUUUUUGGGUCAAGGUUAAUCAAGGGCAAUGAGCAGCUGGUCAUCACGUCACCUCUAUCUCUGAAUUCAGAAAGGUGAUAGCCAUAGGUUUGAAAACGGUAAAGCCAUUUCUCCCCACACAAAAACUUUCCUAAUUCGGUGGGUAUCCGCCCAAUCUGGCAAAACUGGUUUGGGAUUACAGUUCAUUUCCAAAUUCGAUGCAAUGGGGUGUAAACAGCUAAAAAAACUGCAAUUUGCCCCCGUGGCUGCUGCAACAAGCAACUUCCUUUCCAUUCCCGUCCUCAUGGUGAUACUGAGAGCAAACUUAUCUUCAGCACAGCCUUGUGUAUUGUGGAUUAAUGGAGGAAUACGAUGACAUCACAGAGCCGGAAUGCUUCUUUCGAUAAGGACCAUCAAAGCUGAGCUCUUAUCUCUCUCAUAUUGGAAUCUGUUGUUGAUGUUUUGAUAUGUGUGCUUUUUGCUGCCAUUAGAUGUGUCCUAUUAUAGCUGGCCAUUUUCCCUUAUUGUUUUUUUCUUUCUUCUGUCAGUAUAAAAAGGUUUUAAAUAAUUCAUUUGUGCACAUUUAAUCAGUUCAGAGAGCUGGCGGAUGGUGGACAACGGGUGGAAAUAUGGAAAUGCAAUAGUCUCCUAUAAGAGUCAGUCUGUGUAUGAGGAAUUGCUGGAGGUAGGCAAGGCUGGUGGUAUAAUGGGAGGUAUAACACUACAUAUUCAUAGUCCAUUUUUGCACAAUUUUAUGUAAAACACUGCAUAUUCUUCUCUUUAUAAAAAGUAUUGGCUAGUUGAAAAUGGUAUUAAUGCUUCUCUAUUAGUUUCCCAUGAACUCAAGUGAAUGAUGACAUACAGUACUGUGAAAAAGUCUUAGGCACCCAAGAUUUUUAAAUAUAAUAUAUAGUAUAUAUUUGGUCUUAGAUGUUUAUUUUUUGUUUUCUGCAUUAGUGUGUCAGUAGAAAAGAGCAAAUUUGAGAUUUCCAAAAAAAAUGAAAUUUUACAGAUACAUUUUUGUAUUUUGUUAAAGUAAUAUUUUAAGUAAUAGACUACUAAAAACUUGAUCAAGGGUCUCUGGGAUUACCUGGAGUUCCAGAAGCAAGCAAAACAGCCAAAAUCUGCAGAAGAACUGUGGCAAGUUCUCCAAAAUGCUUGGAACAACCUACCAGCCAGGGUGGUCACACCAAACAUUGAUUUUAUUUAAAAUAUAAAUUUAAGCACACAUGACUGUACAUGUGGAAUGAUACACUGUACAGUAUGCCCUUUUAAGUUUGAUCGUUCUAUUAUGUUAUGUAACAUGUAACUAACCUUCUGGAAGCUGACUAAUAAUUAGAAAUUUUGUGAGUUAAAAGGAGCUCAAUCAAAAAAGCACAUUAAGCCAACUGUCUCAGGUAUAGCAGGCCAGCUUUGUGCAUGGAACAUCAUGUUGGCAAAGGAAAUGUUGGUCCUUUUCUAUAAGGCGCAGAGAUAUUUAGGCAAUAAAUACGUAAGUAGUACACACUUCAUUGCAUGCUGCUCGUAGCCGAAUGUUAAAAAGAAGGUGCCUCUGUUCUCAGUUAAGCAGCAGGCACAUGAACCCCUUCUGUAGAUUAGAGCAGCGUGACGACCGCAGACAAAUCAGAUCAGUAUUUAUAGAGCAGCGGAGAUAGUCAGCCGGCCUGGUGUCUGUGCCCCGGUGGCUUCACAUCUAUCAGGUGAACGGAAAGAGAGGGAUUACUGUUUCAGAAGAGCGGCUGGGGAGGGUGAAGAGGAGUUGGGGGGUUGUGGAAGAUGAGGUGCUGAAGAGAAGAAGAAACAGGUGGGCAGAGAUUGAAGAGGAGUUUGGGAGAGAUUUAAGAGGAGGCGGGGGAGAGAGGAAGAGGAGGUGGGACUGGGUGGUUGUGCAGAACCAGGAAUACCUUGCCCCGCAGGGAAGAGAGGAAUUCCAGCCUGAUGCCGACACAGGGUUACUGUGAGACACUGCCCCUGGCAUUGGUCUGUCUUUUCAGUUGUCUUCUGUGGGUUUGCUAUCUAAACAGAAGAUUUUCGGCUAAAUUUCCAAGCCCCCCACCGCAGGCUGGACAGCCAAGUAUGUCAAUCUUCCACCACAGACUGAAAACAAGCCUGUUUUCACUGUCUCUUGUCUCAAUAAAACUCUGAAAUCAGAGCCUUUAUUACAGAUUUACUGUCCCUAUAUACAUAUGCUACAUACAACACUAUGCUUUCAAAUCCGUUUUAUACUUAAAGCGCAACAUCUUCAAUCACCCGCUUGUAUGGCGCUUAAUAUUUAUGUUGUAAAUUUAUGUACUGACUGCUACGCUGAGUUGUGAUACUGAUGUCUUGACAUUUUCUCUGGCACCAUCUAGAACUUUUUGUGCCCGUAUUUUGUAAAUCAGUCUGAAUGAGAGCGUUUGCCACUAAAUGCCUCAACAUAAAUGCAGUUUUUAGUAUAAAAUUGUAGUAAAUUUCAGUUAUUUGGUGCCUUCUUUCUUUUGCUGUCGCUGUAAAUAUUAAGUAUUAAGAGAGAAGCCAACAGAAGCUUAAAAAGUUUAGUUUCUGUUUUGAAUUGAUCAUUCAUCAUAUCACGAAUCCUCACUGAUAUCACCAAAUUUUACAUUACAUCCAAAUUAAUGUGGUUUCUAAUAAAGUUGUUUCUUGAAAAUAGACUGGGUUGCAGUACAAGUCUUGGAAAACCCAGAACAAAUGUGUAAAUUAUGCCCUGAAGCUUGUUAACUGCAGAAUUGGUGUAAUAAAUAGACACGAGCCCCAGAUUUAUGAGAUGAUCUCAGGAAGUCAUGUACCCACAAAACUACAGCACAACGCAUGAUAGAGAGUGAGCAUAUUUGCUGUACACACAUGUUCUUCUGUCCGCUGCAUAUCACCGUUAGUACAUAAUUCACUGCUCUCUCGACACUCCUGACUGGCUGAAAGAUUGUCUGGCGGGGUAUCAUAUUUUUUUGUUUGAUUUAUGUUGCACUCAACCUCUUAGCCUUUGCUCCCAGUUCAGAAACACACAGGCCCUUUCUCUGUCUCACACGGUCCGGAUUUAUGAGCUGGGAAAGACUCGUCAGCGUAGGAAUCCCCCUGCCCCCCACAGCCCACGCUCUCGUGUUGACGGCGCGGCCCAUCCACCGGGACAGACGGCCACUCUCCCGCUGUCAGGCCGAAUGGACGGCCGCCUCCGGCCCAUGUGAAUGCCUGAUUGUGCGUGGGGGCGGUGGCAGCUCGCGCCCGUGUGCGGUGAUUGGCUGGUGGAAUGUGAUUGUGUGCUGUGUGAAAGGGCUGGGGUGGAGGGCCCUGGCUGCCAUGUAGGGCCCGGAUGCCAGGCAUUCCCCGGAGGGUUCUCCCCCGCUUUGGCUGUGGAGCCUGCCACUCCAUGCAGGGACCCUGCUGCUAAACACCGCCUCGGUCUGAAUCACAAUUAACCUAAAGCCCCCCACCCAUGGUAGUCUUUUUUCUGUUGCUGCUGCUGAUGAUGUUCAUAGAGCAGUGUAUUGAGUCUGUUUGGAGGGUACUCUGUGAGUGAUCAAUGUAAAUGUGAUGGAUAUGUAUACAUGUAAGUGUAUAUAUAGUACAUAGAAUGGGGUAAUGCUACAGUGUAGUGUAAAGAAUGGGGUAAUACUAGUGUGUAGUAUAAAGAAUGGGGUAAUAAUACAGAAGAAAACCCUUAAGUGUUUUACCUGACUUUGCUGCCGGACCUUUUUAGUGUAUCUCUCAAAGAAUCUGCAAAGUGCUACAUGUUAUUGCAUGCCUGCUGGUGAUGCUUACAAAUAGCUGGCAGUGUACCAAUUCCUAAUUCUUAUUAAAGUUCAAUUAAAACCCCAAACCUUCCUGCAUGAGGGCAUCUUGGAAGGGAUUAUCUAAUGAAUCUCAGUCAAUAUUCACUUUGACAAAAUAUGCAUUCACAAUAAUUGUAAACAGUAUUACACAUAAAUUUAUGUCAAUUGUUCUUGUAGCCGAAGAGUCAAAGUAUUUUAACCCCCAUCUCUACUGACCUAAACAGUAUAAAUAAAAAAUAAACAGCAGACUAGGCUCAUUCUGAAUUUAUAUACACUACACUACACUGCCCUGUUCAGUUAAAUCCUUUACAUGUUUUAAAAGAUUCUCCUGCCAUUAUUAGCAAAGUAUUUAAGAGCUGAAACAGAGAGAGAAAUAUUGCUCUUUGCUUUUCUGUGCCACCAAAGGAACUAUAGGGAUUAAUGAUGGCCAAUUUAUUACAACGUUGUCAGGCCCCAUCUUACCAGCGAUAUUAUUGUCUGCAGAACAGAGCUGGGUCCUAUGUGGACACAGCAAGUCAGAGUGAGGCUUGCGACCCAUAAUUCAGCUCGUAAAUCAUCUGCUUCCAUUUACACACGCUACCUCAUCUUCCCACAUUCAGUGUUUACUUUGGAAACACGUGGACUAAAAAAUGAAAAGCAUGUACUGAGGUACAGUCUUUAUGUGGGCUACACUUUGUGUGUGUGCUCUCUAUAACAAUUCUGUCAUCACAAAAGUCAUUUUGCAGUGUGUACCUGUAGGCUUCUGGUCUGCCUCAUUGAUUAAAAAAAAAAAAUUGUGGUUAGCUGUCUAUUUUUUCCUCAGCGAGACAAAGGAGAUGAUCGAAUCAAAAUAGCCAAAGUCAUCAUGCACUACAGGGAGCCAACGGGACUCAGUUAUUGCCCUUUAAAGGGCUUUUUGGCAACAAUAGCAUCCAUUUACAUCUGUGAGCUGGAGCCGUGGAGGAAAGCGCUCGUAAGAGCACAUGCUGAGAUCCUGAUCCUGUCAGAGAGAGUUCCUCUGGGAGGCUACUGUUUGUGUAAGAGUGGAGACUGCUGUGGAUGCUGUUCUUGGGAUGAAAAUGGAAAUGUUGAUGCGAUUGACAGUUUUAUGGGGUAGAUUUUUGUUAAUGCUGUUAUUCGUAUAAGAAGUGAAAUGAUUGGGAGGUUUUUUGUGAAAAGCACAUUCCUGACUCCAUAGUUAUUUGCUGGUUAAAUAAUUGAUGUUGUUUCCUGAAGCACUGUAGCCCCCUGCUAAUCCCGUGUGCAUUAGGAGCCUUUCAACCUAAUGUGACUCGGACAGCCCGCCUCCCCCCCCCUCCCCCCAGCCUCCUGCAUCAGGUGCACUCAGCACCCCAGUAAAGUAGCACUUUAUCCACGGCUGUGUGUCUGUAUUCUGCCCCCACCCCCCUACGAAGCUGGUGUUUAUCUUGUCUUCAGUGGUGCACUUACAGUAUGCAUUUCCUGUCUUGUUUUUAUCCAGCUUUGUAGAGUAUUGUAUCUAUAUUGUGGAGUAUUUAUCUGUAUUAUGGAGUACAGUUUUAGCCUGUGGGCAAUGGCUGCCAUUUGAGCGAUGGUGCUGUCUCAGUGACAAUGUGGUGGGCCCUUAUAUUAGCCGAUGUGGGUUCUAACAGGUUUUCGGGUUUGAAAUGGAAAGUGAAUUUGGGCCACAGGAGGGUUGGAUGGACGCAGUAAAGCCCUAUCCAUAUUUGAUGGUUGGCAGGUGUGCCCUGUGCCACCACCUGCAGUGUUGGAGGGGAGGAUACAGUGGACUCUUCUGCAGGACAUGUACAAAACGCAAGGGGACCACCCAUGUUUGCUUGAAACUUCACCCAUCCAGGUUGUUUAAUUCAGUGUGUUCAGGCACAGAACCCACAGACAAUAGAACCAAUUAUUGGGGACUAAUUUGCUGAUGUGGAGAAUUCAGGGAUCUGGUUUGUUUUCCUCAAAGCCAAUCAGUGCAACAUGAGCAUCUGUGCUAUCAAGAGUAUCUAUACCAUUAGGUUAAUUAAAAAUUGCAUUAUAGCUGUAUCAUUUUUCAUUUUUAUUUUGUUGUUUUUAGAAUGGUGUUUCCCUAUGACAGACAAAAUCAAACUUAAAUUUUCAUCUGAAACCUUUGAGGCUGAUUAAUAAAGUUGAUAAAGCUGA